CCCUCAGGGACGUCCUCUGUCUUCAAACAUGGGUACUUAUUGAACCGCCCUCGUAUAUGGUCUGGUGAAUUUUCCGAAAACUAAUCUUUUCACACAAACGAUCAUAAUCGAGAUAAUUCGAGAACGAAUUAUGUGUCAGGAUUGGCCGUGUGAGCGCGUGCUAUCUGGCAACGCAGCCUCCUGAUUUUAUUAUAGUUUUGGUGCCGACCAGCCGCACUGAUAUGAUGGUGAUUUCCUGGGAAACCACCGAGUCCAGUGACGCAUUACAUUCAAUAAAAUACAAAUUCAAUCAUGUUCAAUAGUUCCUUUGCUCUGGCAUUCUCGAUCAAGCUGCUGUUAUAGAAAGAACACUGUAUUUUUCGAAGUGGAAAUACACACAUAUUAUUGUUAA